UGAAUACAGAGGACCCUACUCCCCAAACAGGUUUUGUGUGAGCAACAUAGCUGUUUAUUCACCUGGGUGCAGGUGGGCUAAGGCUGAAAAGUGCUUUAGCGAAGGGUGGUGGGAUGGGAGUUGGUUUCAUAG